CAAUAGCGUAUAUUAAAGUUGUUGCAGUUAAAAAGCUCGUAGUUGGACUUCUGGCAGGGCGCCGCGUGCCACAGUAGUGUGCACAAGGGCCCGGCCAUCCUUCUGUAAACGUCGGGGAAGUUUAUUCGUCCGCGGCGGGAUCAGUUAAUUUACCUUUGAGAAAAUUAAGAGUGUUUCAGGCAGGCGUAGCCGGAAUACAUUAGCAUGGAAUAAUGGAAUAGGACUUAGUCUCUUUGUUGGUUCGAGGGACUGGAGUAAUGAUUAAUAGGGAUAGUUGGGGGCGAUUAGUAUUUAUUAGCUAGAGGUGGAAUUCUCUAAUUUGUAUAAAGAACUAACUUAUGCGAAAGACAUUUGUCCAACGGAUGUUUUCUAUUAAUUCAAGAACGAAAGUUAAGGGGAGUCAAAGAACGAUUAG
rnacentral:rRNA from 1 species